ACAGUGCUCAUCUUUAAAAAAAGGAAAGGCCCAGGGAAUUAUAGCCUGGUCAAUUCAACUAGUUGCUCUGGAAAGAUACUGGGGUAUGUAAAUCAAGCAAGCAAUUUUCAAGCACCUAAAAGAUAGUAAGUGACAUCAUCUUGAAGCCCUUUAAAGAGUGGUCUCUCACACCUCCACUCCCAAAUAGCAUUCAUCAGAAGCAAGACUACGCCAAGAUAUAAGCUACUGAUUUUAAAAGCAGCACUCCAAAACAAAGGGAAAGAAAUAGAUGCACAUUAGAGUAUGUUCUUGCAAAUAACAGAAAAGGAAAAAUAUGUGAAUAUGCAAUAUGUGAAAGGACCACAGCCUUCAACAGGACUAUGAAGAGUAUGGGGUUCUUCCCAGGUACAUCCUAUCACAGGACUGAGUCCUUUAUAAAGAACUUCUUAUAAACUGAA